UACGGAGGGGGCUAGCGUUGUUCGGAAUUACUGGGCGUAAAGCGCGCGUAGGCGGACCUGCAAGUCGGGGGUGAAAGCCCGAGGCUCAACCUCGGAACUGCCUUCGAUACUGCGGGUCUCGAGUCCGGGAGAGGUGAGUGGAAUUCCUAGUGUAGAGGUGAAAUUCGUAGAUAUUAGGAAGAACACCAGUGGCGAAGGCGGGCAUCUGGGCCAACACUGACGCUGAGGCGCGAAAGCUAGGGGAGCAAACAGG
rnacentral:rRNA from 1 species